UUUGCAUGGGAAUUUGGUGAUGCUUCAUCUUCAUUAAUCACUGCACUCACCCUAAAAUAUUCGUCUUUACAUUCAGAGUGCACCAUUUCCACAUUUUUGGGAUCACUUGCACCUGCCUGUCCCCCUUUGGAGGAAAGGAGGCAAAACACUCACACAGCACACAAACCUGUACUCAGCUGCGUGCCCCGACAGGUCUAGACCUCAGGAAAGCCAGAGGCCCCCAGAUCCAAACUGAAUGCAAUAAUUACAUUACAAAGUCUGGACUGCAAACUGGAGAUGCUGUCGUAACAAAUGCAGGUCCUGUCUUUCUGGGGAAAAAGAGACACACAGGUUGUGGUUGCUGUGCUUCCCUCAAUGAACCAUGGUACAUCCAUCAUUAUCCGGCACAGUGACCUGCUAGCCCUUUGCUCACACCAGUGGCUGACUGGCGUGGAACAAAAGUCCUUUUAAAUUUUGAAAGUCUAACUCUUAAUUUGAGAUGUACACAGUUAAUUCAGCUACAAACAGUGAAUA